AUGUCUGGUAGUUCAGUCUUCAUCUUCAUGAAGACUAUCAUGAAUGCUCGAUCUUUAUCUGAAAAUAGAAAGAAAUAAUUUUUAUCUAUUUUUAAAUAAUUUUUUUAUAAUUUUAUAUUAAUAUGUAAAAGUCCCAAUCAACAGUUGAAAAUAUACAAAAGAAAAAUACAGCUGAUAAUACAAUGCAUCAAGGGCACCCAACCCCUAUUGCAACUCUUGCAGAUGCAUUUAUAUAAUUAGCCAAAAGUGAAACAUUCAUGUAUACAUCCAUUAUAUGGAUGAACCCUAGUCCAUAACCCCUCAACAUGUACUUUAUAAUAAUUAUAAAAUAUUGUAACAAACAACUCAUGUUAUUUUUAUUGUAAUAUCAUUCAUACACAUGUCAAUAGAGAUAUUUAAAAAUUUAGGCAAAAAGCCCAUCUAAAGUUUUUGAUUCGGGUUCAAUACUUGAUCCAAUUUAUAAUUUUAAGUUAAUCAUUUGUCACUCUUUUGAAUUGAGUUGAUCAAUUCUAGAUUAACACUAAUCCAAUUAGGUUAGCAUAGAUUCGG
rnacentral:lncRNA from 1 species